rnacentral:lncRNA from 1 species
AGUCUCCAUGAAGGUUGAGCUCCGAUGGCCAACAGCCAUUUCCACCUUGUGGUCUACAACUCUUCAUCCCGACUGCAUGGAGGUUGGUCUCUCUCUUCAGCUGGAUUUAGGCCACCAUCUGAGCCCCCGGGGUACGUUUUGUCUGACCCUGGCGCCAUUCGAACGGUUCUUCUACAGCAUCAGUUCUCUUUCCUGCCACCAUGUGAAGAAGGACAUGUUUGCUUCCCCUUCUGCCAUGAAUGGACAGGGUCCUGCUGUGUUGCCCAGGCUGGCCUUGAACUCCUGGCUUCAAACAGUCUUCCCACUUGGGCUCCCAAAGUGCUGGGAUUAAAGGGGCGAGUUACAGCACCAGGACCUGAAAUGUGACACCCCUGCUCCCCAUUCACCCUCCGCUAUCAGUAAAAGCUUCCUCAGACCUCACCAGAAGCUGGACAGAUAGAUGCUGGUGCCAAGCUUGUACAGACUGCAGAACCAUGGGCCAAAUAAACCUCUUUUCUUUA